ACGCCGGUAGCUCAUUUAGCAGAGCAAGUGGGACGGUACCCCAUGGUCCCGGGUUCAAAUCCCGGCCGCCGCU